UCUAUGUUAUGGGAGUUACAUACCUUACCUAAAUCCAUUCCUCAAAAUAACCCAAUGAGGUUGAAUUAAAGACCCUGAAAGCCUGAUGCAGUCUUGUAAAACUCUUUCCAAAAUAAAUGUCAGGUAAUUUGAGGUACUACAGCAAGAUGGUGCCUGCCCUACCCAGGCAUCUAAUGUUCAAUGAAGCACUUUCCUGGAGGAAAAGUGGAAUAAAGGUAUUUUCCAACGAUUUGUUCUUGGCCUUUCUUGGAAAGAGUAGUCAUUCUCAAACUCCAG